GGUUAAGCGACUAAGCGUACACGGUGGAUGCCCUGGCAGUCAGAGGCGAUGAAGGACGUGCUAAUCUGCGAUAAGCGUCGGUGAGGUGAUAUGAACCGUUAUAACCGGCGAUUUCCGAAUGGGGAAACCCAGUGUGUUUCGACACACUAUCAUUAACUGAAUCCAUAGGUUAAUGAGGCGAACCGGGGGAACUGAAACAUCUAAGUACCCCGAGGAAAAGAAAUCAACCGAGAUUCCCCCAGUAGCGGCGAGCGAACGGGGAGGAGCCCAGAGCCUGAAUCAGUGUGUGUGUUAGUGGAAGCGUCUGGAAAGGCGCGCGAUACAGGGUGACAGCCCCGUACACAAAAAUGCACAUAUUGUGAGCUCGAUGAGUAGGGCGGGACACGUGGUAUCCUGUCUGAAUAUGGGGGGACCAUCCUCCAAGGCUAAAUACUCCUGACUGACCGAUAGUGAACCAGUACCGUGAGGGAAAGGCGAAAAGAACCCCGGCGAGGGGAGUGAAAAAGAACCUGAAACCGUGUACGUACAAGCAGUGGGAGCCUCUUUAUGGGGUGACUGCGUACCUUUUGUAUAAUGGGUCAGCGACUUAUAUUCUGUAGCAAGGUUAACCGAAUAGGGGAGCCGAAGGGAAACCGAGUCUUAACUGGGCGUUAAGUUGCAGGGUAUAGACCCGAAACCCGGUGAUCUAGCCAUGGGCAGGUUGAAGGUUGGGUAACACUAACUGGAGGACCGAACCGACUAAUGUUGAAAAAUUAGCGGAUGACUUGUGGCUGGGGGUGAAAGGCCAAUCAAACCGGGAGAUAGCUGGUUCUCCCCGAAAGCUAUUUAGGUAGCGCCUCGUGAAUUCAUCUCCGGGGGUAGAGCACUGUUUCGGCAAGGGGGUCAUCCCGACUUACCAACCCGAUGCAAACUGCGAAUACCGGAGAAUGUUAUCACGGGAGACACACGGCGGGUGCUAACGUCCGUCGUGAAGAGGGAAACAACCCAGACCGCCAGCUAAGGUCCCAAAGUCAUGGUUAAGUGGGAAACGAUGUGGGAAGGCCCAGACAGCCAGGAUGUUGGCUUAGAAGCAGCCAUCAUUUAAAGAAAGCGUAAUAGCUCACUGGUCGAGUCGGCCUGCGCGGAAGAUGUAACGGGGCUAAACCAUGCACCGAAGCUGCGGCAGCGACACUAUGUGUUGUUGGGUAGGGGAGCGUUCUGUAAGCCUGUGAAGGUGGCCUGUGAGGGUUGCUGGAGGUAUCAGAAGUGCGAAUGCUGACAUAAGUAACGAUAAAGCGGGUGAAAAGCCCGCUCGCCGGAAGACCAAGGGUUCCUGUCCAACGUUAAUCGGGGCAGGGUGAGUCGACCCCUAAGGCGAGGCCGAAAGGCGUAGUCGAUGGGAAACAGGUUAAUAUUCCUGUACUUGGUGUUACUGCGAAGGGGGGACGGAGAAGGCUAUGUUGGCCGGGCGACGGUUGUCCCGGUUUAAGCGUGUAGGCUGGUUUUCCAGGCAAAUCCGGAAAACCAAGGCUGAGGCGUGAUGACGAGGCACUACGGUGCUGAAGCGACAAAUGCCCUGCUUCCAGGAAAAGCCUCUAAGCAUCAGGUAACAUCAAAUCGUACCCCAAACCGACACAGGUGGUCAGGUAGAGAAUACCAAGGCGCUUGAGAGAACUCGGGUGAAGGAACUAGGCAAAAUGGUGCCGUAACUUCGGGAGAAGGCACGCUGAUAUGUAGGUGAAGCGACUUGCUCGUGGAGCUGAAAUCAGUCGAAGAUACCAGCUGGCUGCAACUGUUUAUUAAAAACACAGCACUGUGCAAACACGAAAGUGGACGUAUACGGUGUGACGCCUGCCCGGUGCCGGAAGGUUAAUUGAUGGGGUUAGCGGUAACGCGAAGCUCUUGAUCGAAGCCCCGGUAAACGGCGGCCGUAACUAUAACGGUCCUAAGGUAGCGAAAUUCCUUGUCGGGUAAGUUCCGACCUGCACGAAUGGCGUAAUGAUGGCCAGGCUGUCUCCACCCGAGACUCAGUGAAAUUGAACUCGCUGUGAAGAUGCAGUGUACCCGCGGCAAGACGGAAAGACCCCGUGAACCUUUACUAUAGCUUGACACUGAACAUUGAGCCUUGAUGUGUAGGAUAGGUGGGAGGCUUUGAAGUGUGGACGCCAGUCUGCAUGGAGCCGACCUUGAAAUACCACCCUUUAAUGUUUGAUGUUCUAACGUUGGCCCGUAAUCCGGGUUGCGGACAGUGUCUGGUGGGUAGUUUGACUGGGGCGGUCUCCUCCUAAAGAGUAACGGAGGAGCACGAAGGUUGGCUAAUCCUGGUCGGACAUCAGGAGGUUAGUGCAAUGGCAUAAGCCAGCUUGACUGCGAGCGUGACGGCGCGAGCAGGUGCGAAAGCAGGUCAUAGUGAUCCGGUGGUUCUGAAUGGAAGGGCCAUCGCUCAACGGAUAAAAGGUACUCCGGGGAUAACAGGCUGAUACCGCCCAAGAGUUCAUAUCGACGGCGGUGUUUGGCACCUCGAUGUCGGCUCAUCACAUCCUGGGGCUGAAGUAGGUCCCAAGGGUAUGGCUGUUCGCCAUUUAAAGUGGUACGCGAGCUGGGUUUAGAACGUCGUGAGACAGUUCGGUCCCUAUCUGCCGUGGGCGCUGGAGAACUGAGGGGGGCUGCUCCUAGUACGAGAGGACCGGAGUGGACGCAUCACUGGUGUUCGGGUUGUCAUGCCAAUGGCACUGCCCGGUAGCUAAAUGCGGAAGAGAUAAGUGCUGAAAGCAUCUAAGCACGAAACUUGCCCCGAGAUGAGUUCUCCCUGAGACUUAGAGUCUCCUGAAGGAACGUUGAAGACGACGACGUUGAUAGGCCGGGUGUGUAAGCGCAGCGAUGCGUUGAGCUAACCGGUACUAAUGAACCGUGAGGCUUAACCUUAC
rnacentral:rRNA from 2 species